UUUUUUUUCUUUUCCUUUUGUUUGCCUUCUGUUUAGUGUUUAUGGCCUUGAAUGAAGUUCUACUUAAUGUUUGGCACAUCUCCAAUUGUAGGCUUAAAUUACUUUUUGGGUGGGACAUCACGAAAUUACAGGGAUGAUGGAGUAGACAUCAAUUGUGCAUCAAUUGUAUGUUUGGAUGAGAGGAAGGCUUGGAUGAGGAGUACUAGAUGUAGGUCUUAUUAGGAGAAAAUUGUACUA